UUUUCAUUUUAAUGGAGGAGUAAUUGUUUCAAUUUUCUAUUUUCUCAUGAAUACUCCUAACAUUUCUUUAUUCGAUAUGCAGAUCAAAUAAGAGAAUAUUAACAUUUAUGAAAUUAAGAUUCAUAAAAAAUUUUGCAAUCCGUUGAUUUUAGUAAAAUACAUAGAUUUUAAAGAUCUCUUUUCUGAAAAAGAAAAGGAAGAAAGACAGAGAAAUAGAAUGAACGACAUGAUUGUAAAUACCACUAAAUAGAAAGAACAAUAUUGUAAAUACAAAUAAAAUAAAAGGUUGGAACAAAAAUCUGCAAAAACAAAGAACGACACUUCGUAUUGAAAAUUGUGGCCAUAUUCCAAAGAGUACAGUUUUUGCCAGUUUCAAGCAAAAGGAGAACGGGGUCUAUUGACAGAACCAAAAGAAGAGGGUCUGCUUUAAAUAAUCUCCAUCUUUCCUUCAUUUCUUCAUUUGCUCUGCAACUAUUGUCAUCAUCAGCAAAAGGAAAUUAUCGAUUUUGACAAAUUUAGGAACAUUACAAAAAUGGCAGUAAAACCAACAGUUGCUUUGAGGGCUAUAUUUGUUGGAGGGAUAGCUGUAUUUGCGAAAGUAGCUGGUGUUAUGAAGGCUGCUGGAGGUGCUAAGCUGGGUGCUGCAGCGACUGCCAUGACAAUAGCUGCAAGUGCUGCUAUAUCAGGAACGAAGCAAGAUCAGAAAGAUGUUUCACCUUCAAAAUGAUUUUUUUUCCCCGAGUUUAGCUUAAAUAGUAGAGUUUGUAUUACAGUUUACUGUCCCCCAUGUGCAUGUUGGGAGCAGAAUAGUGAUGUUUGAUCGGCAAAAUUGAUCAUCUUCAAACAGGACUUGUUGCUAUUGAUUCGAUGAUCCCCAUAGGACAAACUACCAAAAAUAAUAAAGAGGACAUUUCAUUUGCAUUGAAA